rnacentral:tRNA from 1 species
GGGUGAAUGUCUGAGUGGCUUAAAGAAGCAGUUUUGAAAACUGUAGUGUUUUUAUUUUAACAACACCGUGGGUUCGAAUCCCUCUUCACCUG